UGAAAACAUGUCAGCUGAUAAUAACGACAAAUACCGGUAAAAUUCAUACAAACUUGACUGAAAAUUUAAGAAUUCAAGAGAUCCAGGAUCGAUUCAGGAACCGAGUUCGAUUUAUCGACGAUUUCAUUAGGAAGAUUUAAAAAGAAUCAAAUGGCAAGGACUCUAACGAUGGCUCUCAACAUGUCACAAAUAGAGAGGUUAAUAGUGAGGCCAAUCGACGAUAUGCUUGUGGAGAACGAUGAUUUUAUAAUGAAAAACGUCGACGAAGAAUACGACGAAAAUACCGUGUUGCCGGAAGGCAACAUGGGACUUAAAAAGAGAAUUAUACCAGUAAUUACUAUAGAAGAAACGGAAGAUAACGUAUUUCUCGAUAGAAAUUUAAUCUAUGAUGAUGGCGCGAAAAAGUGGGAUCAGAUUUCAGAGCAUCAAACGGGGAUAUUAGUGGAUGAAGCGUUUGAAAUUGAGGAAAACCCACAUAUUGACAUUAAGGAAAAAGAAGAGCUGAAGGAAGUAAUUAAUUGGAGAUUAGCUCCAGUGGAUCAUGCAGCAAUAGUAUGGAAUAGAGAGAUACAAAUGGAUGAGGUACAAAUGGACGAGCCAUGCACGGAGCAAUCACAUGUAGAGCAGUCACAUACGGAGCAACCACAUGCGGAACAAUCACAUACGGAGCAACCACAUGUGAAGCAAUUACAUGUGGAGCAACCACAUGUGGAGCUAAUACAUGUUGACGACUCGCAAGAUCUGCAAGUAAUCAAUCCUGUGACGAUGACAUCAAGUAGUAUGUUGCAAACACAAGACAUUGAGUUCAAAACUAUUGAGGAGAUAAAGGAAGAGGAGCAACGACUAAUGACAGAAAUUGAAAGACGAAGUGAACUGCAGAAAACGAUUAAUGAAAGGGUUGCAAGAAUUAAAAAAAUGCGUGAGUUUUUGGAGAAAUUCGAUGACAUUGAAGAAACUGAGGCUAAAGAGGAGAAUGCAGAGAUGGAAAAACGACUAAAUGAAGCGAUAGAAGCUUACUUGACAACAGGUGAACAAAGCAAAAAUUUCAGCGAUAAAUUCACAAUAGUGGACAACAACGGCCACAGCAUGUGUGAAGCAUCAAUGGUUGUUACAUUGAAGGACAAAAGACCAAGGAAGAACAUCCGGGAAAAUAAAACGUAUCGGAUAAUAUAUGAUAUUACAGGAUCUCAAAUAAAUCGAUCAUACUGCGUGUUUACAGAUGAUGAUACCGCAGCAUCACGGACAAGCAAAGUUAGAAAGAGAACAAAAACGAGCAGAUCAGAGAUAAUAACACGAUCGAUGAUGAGCUUAAGAAGAAAUUUACCAAUAAUGUCAAAUUCAAACGAAGGGAUGCAACUCAGAAAAAGGAGAAAUACGCAAUGGUCAUUGAGAAAUAGAAAGACAGCUUACAAAUCGAAAAAACGAAAAGAGAACGAUCCAGCGACGCAUGUGAGGAAUGAAAAGGGAAGGUUUGUGAAGAAAAACUUGUGAAAAAAUGAGAAAGCGCUUUCGACAGCUGAUGAGAAAAUGAGUAAGAAGGUGCUGCACCAGCGGUCAUCUCUUUUUCUUCUCCUCUUCCUCCUCUUAUUCAUAUUUGAUUCCGUCUGCUUCACUAAUGACGAUACGGCCAGUAACAUAGAUGAAAAAAGUUGUUAACGAAAUAUACUUCCAAUCUUCCACAGAACAGCCACAAAGAAGUAAAAAUGCGAAGUCAACUCACGAGUGUACAAAACUCACUCGGUAGGUUUUAUCAGAAAUUUCCAAAAACAUAAAAAAUUAUAAGAAACAACAGCUCACCGAAGCAAAACACGUUUAUCUCAGUUGAGUCAAUUCAGACUGGCAUUUAUCUUGAGUGAGAGGUGGCUAUAACGGAAGAUUUGAUUAGAGAACUCAAAGGACAUCAAGUCACGGGACACUAUCAAGGAAAAGAGCAACUGAUGUGUUCAGAUAGGCGAUCAAGAGCGACAAACAGCAAGGAUGCAGCAGUCAACAGUCGAAGGGCUGAGAGGAUGAAAACGCUUGUGAUCUAAUCAUCAUUUUGAAUUUAAAUUUUGAUAGUAAAUUUAGACUUGCACACAGAACUCCCAAAACUGUCUUCAUAUAAAACGUAUCUCUUUUGGGAAACUCAGAGGUACGAAAGGAUUAACAUAAUUUAUUUCAAUUUUAUAUGUGUUCGGCAGAUUUUAUUUUCUGGUUUAAAAUUGAUACCGUAAAAGACCGUAAAAUUUAUAUUUAUCCAUAAGGAACUGAAUUUUCUUUUUUUAGUCACAGAAAAUA